GGAUUAGUAGACCAAUGGUUAAGUCAUAGCUUUUUCAAUGCUAAUUGUGCGGGUUCGAGUCCUGCCUAGUCUA
rnacentral:tRNA from 2 species